CUAGUACUGUAUAAAAGAGCCAAGUUUGGAACGACCGAGGGCAAAAGAGUCAUUUUGAAUCACAAAAAAUCUCUUUGUACGGUUCUCUCGCUCACUCCGUCGCUUUUCAUCAUUCUAGAAGAACAAGUUCUCUUUUGUAAAAGAGAGAUGAUUCCUCCAUGUCUCUGAGUCUCUUUCAUCGUUCUCAUCUGGAUUAUCAAGUUUUGGUUACUCUUUCAAUUAUCUUCAUCUUAUCAGCUGAGUGUUCUAAUUUCAGAUAAGGAGGCAAUAUCAAUUCAAUAAGGGUUGCUUUGGAGACUGAGACAAGCUCUUUGCUAAUCUUGCUUUUAAUAAUCCUUACCUCAGUUCCUUUAGCUUCAACUAUGAGCAUGGUUAAGAGUGGUGUGAGCUUACUUUAGGUCCUACUAUUUGAAGCUGGAAAAUGUAGGUAUGCAGCAUAAUACUUAAUUUCUAAAUAACUGCCUGCUCUUUAAACUUUAAUUUUGCUACAUCAACCAAACAAUUCAAAAAUGUGUUGCAUGGUGAAAGCUUGUAGAAAACAUUAUCGCUUUAGGGGAACAUGUUUCUCAGGUUAGAACAUGUAUUCAUUUUCAUUACAAACUAAAAGUGUAUAAAAAUAAAUUUGGAGAGAACUUGUUCAAUCAUUUAUCGCGUGUUGGACUCACAAUAUAACAUUCUUAUUUAAUGGCUUCCUUUUAAACUCUUCGAAGCUCAUAAAUCUGAAAUUCCUUCUUCAAAAUAAGUUGAGUACUUGCUUACUAGAUCCAUCAGGAAACUGUGUAACUUGGUUUAUCAACAUCAUGAUGAAUUACUCAUCGUACAAUGCUCCUCUACAAAAGGAGUUAUAUGUCGGUAAGUCUCAGAUGAUUAAUAUCUCUUUUGCACUGAACAAUCACCAUAUCACUAAUGGUGUUAGCGCUCUCACCACCUUUGUCAAAUGAAUCGACUUCCAAAGUCGUCCUGGUGGAUGUGGAGUUGGGAGGAUUCGAAUAUAUGUAAAUUUAGACUCUCAUCUUAGUGUGUGCACAAUUCUAUUGCUUCUGAGUAUCUACCUAAAAAUGGAUCCAACACAAGAGGUCGUGCUAUAAAUUUGACUGGGAGAUGAUUUGUCUUUGAGCUUCCAAAGGAAUCUAUCUACCUGACUGUAUUUAUUAUCAAAGAGAUUGAAGUCAUUCCUAUAUUCUUCAGAGCAUAAUAGAAAAAAUUUAAAAGAGAAACUGCCUAUAAAAAGGGUGGAACAGUAUAUCUGGACAACUUCAGUGUAACUUUAAAGAGUAAAGUUGAGGAAACCAUGGUGUAACUCUUGAAACACUGUUGGAAAUGACCACCUAAAGACUAAAUCCAGUUAUAUCUGCUUUUAUUUUCUUGUCAAAGAUGCCUCUACAUUGUCCCUUAAACAAAAAUUUAUCUCCUAUGCAGCUUAUUUGUGAGAUUAUUGGUAAGAUGAGCUGCUGUUAGAUUAUGAUGAUAUACAAAUGGUUUUGGAUACAAAGUCACUUUCAAUGAGUACAUGGAGGGGAGAUAGUUUUGCUUUAUUAUUUAAAUUCAUCUUUCUGAGAGAUAAUGGUUCAAAAUACGUGGUUAUAUUUUCAAUAAGUGUAUAUGGAUUGGGGACAACACUGCACAUUAAAAUCAUGAAUAAGAAGAUCCCUGACUGUCUUACAUACCUUCAUAUAAAAGGCCCGUUCUAUCUCUUUGGAACACAUACAACACUUGUCAGCUUUUCUUCCCUUUUGAUAGUUAUAUGUAGAAAUUAGGUUCUGCAGUUCAAUUGAAAUUGGUAGAAGGGGGUGUGUACACUUAUCAAUGGUCUGAGGAAGUAACUCUGAGGAUUACUCUGUUUCUUGUGAAAGACUUGGCAAGGUACUUGUGCAUGAUGCAUGUCUCAUAUAAAACAGCCUGCCGAAGAGAGGUGUAUCAUUUUGUAGUAGAUGUUUCAUGUGCAACAGUGGGGAGGAAAUUGGCGCAAAUAUCUUUUGUAUUUUUCA